CACGUAGGGGGCGAGCGUUGUCCGGAUUUAUUGGGCGUAAAGAGCUCGUAGGCGGCUCAGUAAGUCGGGUGUGAAAACUCCAGGCUCAACCUGGAGACGCCACCUGAUACUGCUGUGGCUAGAGUCCGGUAGGGGAGCAUGGAAUUCCUGGUGUAGCGGUGAAAUGCGCAGAUAUCAGGAGGAACACCAGUGGCGAAGGCGGUGCUCUGGGCCGGAACUGACGCUGAGGAACGAAAGCGUGGGGAGCGAACAGG
rnacentral:rRNA from 1 species